GCGUCUAAUGGGACCAGUUACAGCUGGUUCGUUUUUGUCUGUGUUCAGGGUCGUUUUUCAACUCAUUCACACUUGCUUUUGUCCGAUCACAUUAUGAAUUGACCAAUAAAGUUUGAUGAACUCCGGUGAUAUCGGUUUUUUUUUUUUUUUUUGGUGAACCAUGAAUUAGAUUCCAAGUCAAAAGGCAACUGCAAGGAAAUACACAGAAAGUAGAAACUAAGACAAACUACAGAAGCUCCUUCAUCUGAAUCGCUACAAUUCAGCAAAAGAAGAAACGGAGAAUUUCACUUAGACCCUCUGAAGCUAACUCCACUUAGGACACUUUUUCUCUCUCUUCUUUCACUUUUGGAAAAAGUCAAAACUUUUUCGGAAAAAACAAAAAAAUUCCUCAAUUUUCAAAUCAAAGAUGCAAAUGUAAAUGAUUCAUUUGGAAUUCCAAAAUAAUAAGGGCAUUUUUGUCUAUUUUGGCUUCUUUUCAAAAUAUUUCUCUUUCCUUUGGCAUUUUCCAAAAUAUCCCCUUCUUUAUCUUUUCUCCUCUCUCUUCUUUCCGUCUCUUUGAUAUGCCUUUUUCUUUUAAUUAUCAGUCUUUUUUUUCACUUUUAUUGUGCUGGCAACUAUUGUAAUCUCUCAAAAGUAUUUUUUUUUUCCCACUUUUAUUUUUCUCAACUGAAUUCAUUUUAGUUUUUUUUUUUCCUUUAUGAGUCAAAAUUUUAAGUCUUUGUGGCCCUUUCCAACUCUGGCUUCAAUAAUCCCCCUACAAUCACAAUUGUCAAUGACAACAUUGUUAGAUUUUCUUGCUUAAACAGGUGCAUUCCCUUAUCAGCAUUAACUCGCAUUGCAAUUAACAAAUUAAACCAAACCAUCAUAAUUAUAAAUUAAAUUUAUAAUGAAGUUGGCCAUGUGCGCGCACAAUUCAACAAAGAGUAAUUUAUAUAAACACAUUUGUGGUUUUUAAUGUUUUUAUAUAACUCCUUCAGAUCAUGAAAACUACACAAAUACUAUUUCAAGUUUCAAAACUCCAUAACAGCAAAAAUACUCUUACGCAAAUAGUAAUAUAAACUUGGUAUUGCAAUACGGUUGAAUACCAUCUCAAUUCUUACACAUUAUUGCCAAAUGGGUCUAGCCGAGUGGGGUGGCAAAAAAAAUUUCUGGUGCAAUUCCUUAUCACCAUUAACUUGCAUUGCAAUUAACAAAUUAAACCAAACCAUUAUAAUUAUAAAUUCAAUUCAAUUUACAGGGGCUUACUCAGGAGAGGCUUUGCAAUUUCUGUUUUAUUCACUUGUUAAAACAAUGGGGUCCGCGAAGGGUGAGGAUUAUGUGAUUUACCAUAUCCAUUUGUUGACGUAAUUAAACAAAUUCAACGAAGAGUAAUUUACCCUUGAGGUUUUUAGGGUUUUU
rnacentral:lncRNA from 1 species